rnacentral:rRNA from 1 species
AAAAAAGGUAAGCUACUAAGAGCGAAUGGUGGAUGCCUUGACUGGUAAAGGCGAUGAAGGACGUACUAGACUGCGAUAAGCUACGGGGAGCUGUCAAGAAGCUUUGAUCCGUAGAUUUCCGAAUGGGGCAACCCAAUGUAUAGAGAUAUACAUUACCUAUAUAGGAGCGAACGAGGGGAAUUGAAACAUCUUAGUACCCUCAGGAAAAGAAAUCAAUAGAGAUUGCGUCAGUAGCGGCGAGCGAAAGCGCAAGAGGGCAAACCCAGUGCUUGCACUGGGGGUUGUAGGACUGCAAUGUGCAAGAGGUAAGUUUAGCAGAACAUUCUGGAAAGUAUAGCCAUAGAGGGUGAUAGUCCCGUAUGCGAAAAACAAACCUUAGCUAGCAGUAUCCUGAGUAGGGCGGGACACGAGGAAUCCUGUCUGAAUCUGGGUCGACCACGAUCCAACCCUAAAUACUAAUACCAGAUCGAUAGUGCACAAGUACCGUGAGGGAAAGGUGAAAAGAACUGAGGUGAUCAGAGUGAAAUAGAACCUGAAACCAUUUGCUUACAAUCAUUCAGAGCCCUAUGUAGCAAUACAGGGUGAUGGACUGCCUUUUGCAUAAUGAGCCUGCGAGUUGUGGUGUCUGGCAAGGUUAAGCAAACGCGAAGCCGUAGCGAAAGCGAGUCUGAAUAGGGCGCUUAGUCAGAUGCUGCAGACCCGAAACGAAGUGAUCUAUCCAUGAGCAAGUUGAAGCUAGUGUAAGAACUAGUGGAGGACUGAACCCAUAGGCGUUGAAAAGCCCCGGGAUGACUUGUGGAUAGGGGUGAAAGGCCAAUCAAACUUCGUGAUAGCUGGUUCUCUCCGAAAUAUAUUUAGGUAUAGCGUUGUGUCGUAAUAUAAGGGGGUAGAGCACUGAAUGGGCUAGGGCAUACACCAAUGUACCAAACCCUAUCAAACUCCGAAUACCUUAUAUGUAAUCACAGCAGUCAGGCGGCGAGUGAUAAAAUCCGUCGUCAAGAGGGAAACAACCCAGACUACCAGCUAAGGUCCCUAAAUCUUACUUAAGUGGAAAACGAUGUGAAGUUACUUAAACAACCAGGAGGUUGGCUUAGAAGCAGCCAUCCUUUAAAGAAAGCGUAAUAGCUCACUGGUCUAGUGAUUUUGCGCGGAAAAUAUAACGGGGCUAAAGUAAGUACCGAAGCUGUAGACUUGCACACAACUUAGAUUAUUUAAGUUUAGAAUAUGAGAAACUAAGUUAUAUGUUUAGUUAUAUUUUUACUGAUUUUUAUAGAGUAAAGAUAGAAAUAAAACUUAGUAAAAUCAGUAAAAAUAUUCUUAGACUAAAGUUAAGUAGUUUAAGUUGUGUGCAAGUGGUAGGAGAGCGUUCUAUUUGCGUCGAAGGUAUACCGGUAAGGAGUGCUGGAGCGAAUAGAAGUGAGCAUGCAGGCAUGAGUAGCGAUAAUUAAUGUGAGAAUCAUUAACGCCGUAAACCCAAGGUUUCCUACGCGAUGCUCGUCAUCGUAGGGUUAGUCGGGUCCUAAGUCGAGUCCGAAAGGGGUAGACGAUGGCAAAUUGGUUAAUAUUCCAAUACCAACAUUAGUGUGCGAUGGAAGGACGCUUAGGGCUAAGGGGGCUAGCGGAUGGAAGUGCUAGUCUAAGGUCGUAGGAGGUUAUACAGGCAAAUCCGUAUAACAAUACUCCGAGAACUGAAAGGCUUUUUGAAGUCUUCGGAUGGAUAGAAGAACCCCUGAUGCCGUCGAGCCAAGAAAAGUUUCUAAGUUUAGCUAAUGUUGCCCGUACCGUAAACCGACACAGGUGGGUGGGAUGAGUAUUCUAAGGCGCGUGGAAGAACUCUCUUUAAGGAACUCUGCAAAAUAGCACCGUAUCUUCGGUAUAAGGUGUGGUUCGCUUCGUAUUAGGAUUUACUCCGAAAGCGAAGAAACUUACAACAAAGAGUCCCUCCCGACUGUUUACCAAAAACACAGCACUCUGCUAACUCGUAAGAGGAUGUAUAGGGUGUGACGCCUGCCCGGUGCUCGAAGGUUAAUUGAUGGGGUUAGCAUUAGCGAAGCUCUUGAUCGAAGCCCGAGUAAACGGCGGCCGUAACUAUAACGGUCCUAAGGUAGCGAAAUUCCUUGUCGGUUAAAUACCGACCUGCAUGAAUGGCGUAACGAGAUGGGAGCUGUCUCAAAGAGGGAUCCAGUGAAAUUGUAGUGGAGGUGAAAAUUCCUCCUACCCGCGGCAAGACGGAAAGACCCCGUGGACCUUUACUACAGCUUGACACUGCUACUUGGAUAAGAAUGUGCAGGAUAGGUGGGAGGCUUUGAGUAUAUGACGCCAGUUGUAUAUGAGCCAUUGUUGAGAUACCACUCUUUCUUAUUUGGGUAGCUAACCAGCUUGAGUUAUCCUCAAGUGGGACAAUGUCUGGUGGGUAGUUUGACUGGGGCGGUCGCCUCCCAAAUAAUAACGGAGGCUUACAAAGGUUGGCUCAGAACGGUUGGAAAUCGUUCGUAGAGUAUAAAGGUAUAAGCCAGCUUAACUGCAAGACAUACAAGUCAAGCAGAGACGAAAGUCGGUCUUAGUGAUCCGGUGGUUCUGUGUGGAAGGGCCAUCGCUCAAAGGAUAAAAGGUACCCCGGGGAUAACAGGCUGAUCUCCCCCAAGAGCUCACAUCGACGGGGAGGUUUGGCACCUCGAUGUCGGCUCAUCGCAUCCUGGGGCUGGAGCAGGUCCCAAGGGUAUGGCUGUUCGCCAUUUAAAGCGGUACGCGAGCUGGGUUCAGAACGUCGUGAGACAGUUCGGUCCCUAUCUGCCGUGGGCGUAAGAAGAUUGAAGAGAUUUGACCCUAGUACGAGAGGACCGGGUUGAACAAACCACUGGUGUAGCUGUUGUUCUGCCAAGAGCAUCGCAGCGUAGCUAAGUUUGGAAAGGAUAAACGCUGAAAGCAUCUAAGCGUGAAGCCAACUCUAAGAUGAAUCUUCUCUAAGCUCUCUAGAAGACUACUAGUUUGAUAGGCUGGGUGUGUAAUGGAUGAAAGUCCUUUAGCUGACCAGUACUAAUAGAGCGUUUGGCUUAUCUUUAAUAAAGCAU